UACGUAGGGGGCAAGCGUUGUCCGGAAUCAUUGGGCGUAAAGAGCGUGUAGGUGGCUCGAUGAGUCCGCCGUGAAAGUCCAGGGCUCAACCCUGGAAUGCCGGUGGAUACUGUCGGGCUGGAGUCCGGAAGAGGCGAGUGGAAUUCCUGGUGUAGCGGUGAAAUGCGUAGAUAUCGGGAGGAACACCGGUGGCGAAGGCGGCCCCCUGGUUGGAUACUGACGCUGAGACGCGAAAGCGUGGGGAGCAAACAGG
rnacentral:rRNA from 1 species